AUUGAACGCUGGCGGCAGCCUUAACACAUGCAAGUCGAGCGAGCGGCGGACGGGUGAGAAAUGUCUGGGAAACUGCCUGAUGGAGGGGGAUAACUACUGGAAACGGUAGCUACUACCGCAUACCAUCAGAUGUGCCCAGAUGGGAGUAGCUAGUAGGGGGGGUAAUGGCUCACCUAGGCGACGAUCCCUAGCUGGUCUGAGAGGAUGACCAGCCACACGGGAAUUGUGAAACGGUCCAGACUCCUACGGGAGGCAGCAGUGGGGAAUAUUGCACAAUGGGCGCAAGCCGGAUGCAGCCAUGCCGCGUGUGUGAAGAAGGCCUUCGGGUUGUAAAGCACGUUCAGCGAGGAGGCGUUACUCGCAGAAGAAGCACCGGCUAACUCCGUGCCAGCCGCCGCGGUAAUAC
rnacentral:rRNA from 1 species